AGGCCCUAAAAACCGUUCCGGUAUCUUUGGAACGAUAGGGAGAACAUGAGCAUAACCCCUGUGAAAGGAUGACGCGCACAAAUCAAGAAGUGUACCGAGUCAAA
rnacentral:snRNA from 1 species